UAGAAUUUAAAUUUUUGUUUAAAUCCACUAAGUCCUCUCAUUACUCACAAUUCUACACAUAAACGUGCUGUGGACAUAAGGUCAUACAUUGAAGCUUUAGGCACUCAUUUCCUUUAAAAGUUUCGUGUCAUUGGUAUUUAUUAUAAGAUAGCAUAAUGAAAUACUAAGAGCUACAUUUCUAACAUUAUUUCCUGAAUACUUGAUGAAAAAUUAUCAAAGUCAAAUUCUCUGCAAUUAAGUUAAUGUAGAAGGCAUUUUUUUUAAUUCCCGACAAUGCACACAUUUUCUAAUGCAAGAACGAAUACACAUUUGAAUUAAAAUUCUCUUUAAAAACAAAAAUAAAUAUAAAUAGCAAUUCUACUUCCCCCUAACAAGGACGGCAAAUCCCAGCUGCUGCAUCCAAACAAAAAUCUGAGGCUCUGAAAGCAGCCUCGGUUGGAUGCGAAAUUACAGUAUAAGAUCCAGAAAUAAACUGAGCUCUGCACGCGCCUGCCUCUCGCCUAGGGAGCACGCACCUCCCAGCCCCGCUCUCAGCAGCUCUCACUAUUUAAAGCCGGAUCUGGUGUUUAAAUGGAGAGGCGGUGACGUAGGCCUGAAAAGCACCUUCCCAUCCUGGCAGAGUCUAUAUUAGAGAGCGGCAAUGGCUCUAUAUAAACAGGGCAGCCAAAGGGAGGAGGACCACAAGGCUCAGGGACUGAAAAGCAGGGUAAGCGGCCGCAGCCAUGAUGGAUCGACCCGAGUCGCCAACGGUCACAUUGAGCAGUGGAGUGGAAAAAACAUUAGGAAUCAGAAUACAUUUAUGAAAUGAGUUCACCAAAUACGCAAACCAAGCCCACAUUUAUCUUUUGGACGUUUGUGUUUCAGCUCCAGACUCAUGAAAGUGCAACGACCCCACAGACCACAUCCCUGGAAACCAGACGGAACAAUGCCGUGACUGGCACCAGGAACUGAAGCCAUGAUCAACUGCUUCCUGCCUUAGCACCAACCAAUCAGGAGAGCCCACGACCCCAGCUCCCAUAAUAACCAUGAUAAAGUCUUUUUCCUUGUAUAAUAUAACCUAGUCACUAGAGGCCAUCGGGGAGCCAUGCUUUUGAGAGCACUAGCUCACCUGAAUUUCUGGACUUGAUGUUAACUCUUUAAAUAAACCUUUGCUUUCUUUGCUGCACACUCCUGCUCAUAUCUUAUUUGGCUUGAGUGCAUGCAGGCAAGCAGACCCUCUGAGUCAGCAGUAACACUUACCU